rnacentral:rRNA from 1 species
GUAAACUUGGGGCCAGAGGCUGUGGCAAGACGAAUGGGGUAAGUGGUAAGCGGAAGUACUGGGCGUAAGGCGUGGGUAGGCGGUUCGUUAAGUCUGCUGUGAAAUCCCCGGGCUCAACCUGGGAAUGGCAGUGGAUACUGGAGAGCUAGAGUGUGAUAGAGGAUGGUGGAAUUCCCGGUGUAGCGGUGAAAUGCGUAGAGAUCGGGAGGAACAUCAGUGGCGAAGGCGGCCAUCUGGAUCAACACUGACGCUGAGGCACGAAAGCGUGGGGAGCAAACAGGAUUAGAUACCCCAGUAGUC